rnacentral:lncRNA from 1 species
GGCUUGCUCUCAUGCUCUCUUGUCCUUCCGCCUUCUGCCAUGGGAUGACACAGCAAGAAACCCCUUGGCAGAUGUGGGCCUCUCGACCUUGGACUUCUCAGCUUCCAGAACUAGGAGCCAUUGAAGAAUCCUGUUGUCCUAUCCCAGAAGGAUCAAGGGGACAACACUGAUAUCCUGACCGCUGACCAUCCACCACCACUUAAAGAGGUCCCCAAACCCCCGGCUGUUUACCAAUACCAGUCUGUGACCUCUUAGGAACCGAGCUGCACAGCAGGAGGUGAAUGGUGGAGAAGCGAGCAUUAUCGCCUGAGUUCCACCUCCUGUCAGUUUUAAAAAGAAUAACAGAAAGAAAGAAGUGGCUGAAACCUAAAUGCCAUAUGGAGAAGACAGCUAAUUGCCACACUCUCCUCUUUGGUCUUUCCUGGUACACAGCAUACAAGCCCACAGAUUGAGGACUCUGCACUUGCUGUUCUCUCUGCCUGGAGCUCUAUGGCUCCAGAUAGACUCCUGCCAACUCCUUCGCCUUGUUCAGGUUACCUUCAUUAAAUGUCAGCUUAAAUGUGUGCCUACUUUUUGCCCUACCUGGAAUUGCAAGCACCUCUCACCACUGUGCUCCCAUUCUCCUUAACUUAAGCCACUUUUAUUUUCAUAAUAAAGCCACAUAUUUUUUCUUAUUAUAUCAUAAUCACACUGUAUAAUUUAUAUUUUAUUACUUUUGUUUGUAUACUUAUUCUAUGUUUCUGUUC